rnacentral:rRNA from 1 species
CUUAAUUGCGAUAACGAACGAGACCUUAACCUGCUAAAUAGCCCGUAUUGCUUUGGCAGUACGCUGGCUUCUUAGAGGGACUAUCGGCUCAAGCCGAUGGAAGUUUGAGGCAAUAACAGGUCUGUGAUGCCCUUAGAUGUUCUGGGCCGCACGCGCGCUACACUGACGGAGCCAGCGAGUACUUCCUUGUCCGAAAGGUCCGGGUAAUCUUGUUAAACUCCGCCGUGCUGGGGAUAGAGCAUUGCAAUC